CCUACGGGAGGCAGCAGUGGGGAAUAUUGGACAAUGGGCGAAAGCCUGAUCCAGCCAUGCCGCGUGUGUGAAGAAGGCUUUCGGGUUGUAAAGCACUUUCAGCGAGGAAGAAAGCGUGCCGUUUAAUACACGGUACGGACGACAUCACCCGCAGAAGAAGCACCGGCUAACUCCGUGCCAGCAGCCGCGGUAAUACGGAGGGUGCAAGCGUUAAUCGGAAUUACUGGGCGUAAAGCGCGCGUAGGCGGCGUGUCACGCCGGGUGUGAAAGCCCCGGGCUCAACCUGGGAACGGCAUCCGGAACGGGCGGGCUAGAGUGCAGGAGAGGAAGGUAGAAUUCCCGGUGUAGCGGUGAAAUGCGUAGAGAUCGGGAGGAAUACCAGUGGCGAAGGCGGCCUUCUGGACUGACACUGACGCUGAGGUGCGAAAGCGUGGGUAGCAAACAGGAUUAGAUACCCUGGUAGUCCACGCCGUAAACGAUGUCGACUAGCCGUUGGGUCCCUUGAGGACUUAGUGGCGCAGUUAACGCGAUAAGUCGACCGCCUGGGGAGUACGGCCGCAAGGUUAAAACUCAAAUGAAUUGACGGGGGCCCGCACAAGCGGUGGAGCAUGUGGUUUAAUUCGAUGCAACGCGAAGAACCUUAC
rnacentral:rRNA from 1 species